rnacentral:rRNA from 1 species
CCUACGGGGGGCUGCAGUGAGGAAUAUUGCGCAAUGGGGGCAACCCUGACGCAGCGACGCCGCGUGAGUGAGGAAGGCCUUCGGGUCGUAAAGCUCUGUCAAGAGGGAAGAAGUGCAUGGUGGUUAAUAUCUGUCAUGUUUGACGGUACCUCUAAAGGAAGCACCGGCUAACUCCGUGCCAGCAGCCGCGGUAAUACGGAGGGUGCAAGCGUUGUUCGGAAUCACUGGGCGUAAAGGGCGCGCAGGCGGCCUGAUCAGUCAGAUGUGAAAGCCCACGGCUUAACUGUGGAAGUGCAUUUGAAACUGUCAGGCUUGAGUACCAGAGGGGAAAGUGGAAUUCCCGGUGUAGAGGUGAAAUUCGUAGAUAUCGGGAGGAAUACCGGUGGCGAAGGCGACUUUCUGGCUGGAUACUGACGCUGAGGCGCGAAAGCGUGGGGAGCAAACAGGAUUAGAUACCCCAGUAGUC